CCUACGGGAGGCAGCAGUGGGGAAUAUUGCACAAUGGGGGAAACCCUGAUGCAGCGAAGCCGCGUGAGUGAAGAAGGACUUCGUUAUGUAAAGCUCUAUCAGCAGGGAAGAAACUGACGGUACCUGUGUAAGAAGCCCCGGCUAACUACGUGCCAGCAGCCGCGGUAAUACGUAGGGGGCAAGCGUUAUCCGGAUUUACUGGGUGUAAAGGGAGCGUAGACGGCAGUGCAAGUCCGGAGUGAAAGGCGGGGGCUCAACCCCCGGACUGCUCUGGAAACUGUACGGCUGGAGUGCAGGAGAGGUAAGUGGAAUUCCUAGUGUAGCGGUGAAAUGCGUAGAUAUUAGGAGGAACACCAGUGGCGAAGGCGGCUUACCGGACUGUAACUGACGUUGAGGCUCGAAAGCGUGGGGAGCAAACAGGAUUAGAUACCCCAGUAGUC
rnacentral:rRNA from 1 species